rnacentral:piRNA from 1 species
UUCCAAGAUAUGAGUGAAUGCUAG